rnacentral:rRNA from 1 species
UACAGAGGGUGCGAGCGUUGUCCGGAAUCACUGGGCGUAAAGGGCGCGUAGGUGGCGGCCCAAGUCCAUGGUGAAAGCUCGAUGCUCAACAUCGAGUCGGCCACGGAUACUGGGUUGCUCGAGCACUGUAGGGGCAGAUGGAAUUCCGGGUGUAGCGGUGGAAUGCGUAGAUACCAGGAGGAACACCAACGGCGAAGGCAGAUUGCUGGACAGAAGGUGACGCUGAGGCGCGAAAGUGUGGGGAGCGAACCGG